AGAUCACUCAGGACAAAAUCUUAGUCUGGUUCAUUCAAGGAAAUCAUUCACUAGUGGUCGUAGUGAAAGGAGAUUUACUUUCGAAUAAACAAACACCACUCGUGUUUCAGCCGCGGUGAGGUGAACACGUUAUUUUCGGAACUCCAAAUCAGUGCGAGUUUAAGUGUAAAGGGAAA